rnacentral:lncRNA from 1 species
UAAAAUUGUCUUUUGGAAUCCAUAAAUAAACCAUUUUUGAAAUUUUCUUUUAAUCAUAUUACCACAAUUCAAAUUGCAGGCAGAGAAUUACCUGCUUAAUUUGUGACCUUCAUGGAGCUGAGGAAAUGCAUAUCACACCCAUCGCCUACAACGAAAGCUCCAGACAGCAGUUAUGCCAUUAAGAUGCAGAUAGCAAGAGACGACUUCUGAAUUUUACCCUUCUGUAAAUCCAUAGCAUACAAUAUAUAAGCAAUAUGGAUAAUAGGAUACUGCAAAUGAAUGGCAAGUGACAGAACUCAAAGUUACUUAUAGCCAAUGUUAGCAAAAGCUAUCAUAUAAAAUCCAGUAAAAACAGAAAGGAGAGCAUUUAUGAAUAUGCAUAGUGUUCUAAUGAAGAAUGUCAUUACUAUGCCCACCAUACUAACGAUGGCAACUAUCUUAUAUGAGUUUUAGGCAUUCGAGAAAAGAUUGGCAAGCCCACUGGGGCAUGAAUACAGAUAGGAGGUCAGAUUUCAGAAAGGUGAACAACAGAAAAAAUUGUCUUGAAACAUUAAAUGAUCCUAUAUGAGUUUUAAAGCAUUUUAAAUGCAGUGCAAUGUAAUAUCAUAAAGAAAGAAUUUAAGAAUGAGCACAUUGACAUUCUUUAGUUGAGACACUAAAAUAAAGUCUCUUGUUUUAAUAAUCAUUUCCUCCGACUACAGAGGUUAUAGAAAUGAAUAAAGGGUAUACAAUGAUCUAUCAAUUUUUUAAUAGGAUUAGACAUAAACAAGUCAACACCACAAUGUUCUUAAAUCUUGAAUAAAGGAGGCAUAGCUUAAAGACUAGUUUAAUCUCCUCAUGGAAAUUAGUUUGUCAUUGUUAUCACUGCAAAUCAGUCUGUAUAAGCAGACAAGUCUAAGGAAUUUUAAGCCUCAUAAUAACAUCACAAAUAAGUCACAUCAAUCCCAAUAUGUCUCUUGAUACGAAGCCCAUCUUCACAAUUCUGUGAUUGUUCUCCAAGUCUACUUCCACUUAUAAGAUCCAUUCCUCAACCCAGUUGAACUUAUUCUGGUAUAAUCAAUAUGUAAUUUCUUUAUUCAUUCUCACAAAAAUAACAAGCAUUUUUCAUAUAUCUCAGUAAUCCAUAAUCCAUGACAUUUCAUGUAGUCCAAUGUUCUUGUUUUAUUUCCAUUUCUAUGCAAGAAUAAACAAAACCUUAUAGCACCUAGCUUUUCUCCAACCGCUAAUCCAACAUCUACUUCUCGGAGGAAGGGUAAGCAUAACAAUCAUCGAAACCCUAAUUUUUCUUUUUCCGCAAGUGAAAUCCAAGAUUCUUUAAUUACAAGAUCAAGAUUUCUUGAGCCCUAAAACUUUCUUACAAGCAAAUUCCUAUAACGAACUACAGCGGAUGAAAACGGAAGCAAGCCCCAAGCAUCUCGAGUUGCAAGAAGGUCAUCAUUGAUCAGUUCGAAGGAAACAGCACAUAGCGAUCAAGAAUUCCUAUAACGAACUACGAUCAAUUAUUGAUCCCAAAAAAGUUUCUUACAAGCAAUUUCCUACGGUGAACCUCCAGGGGACGAACCGAAGCAGGCCCCAAGAAUCUUGAGUUGCAAGAAGAACAUCGCCGAUCAAGAAUUCCUAUAACUAACCACAACAAAGAUGACCAGCAAAUUUACAACAAUCUUGAGUUGCAAGAAGAUCAACGUGGAACGCAAAUGAUUCGUAUAAUCAUAACCCGCGAGCUACUUACCAUCAACAAUUCACGAGCGAUGGAAGAAACAUCUGAAGGAGGCGGAUCGAACCUUGAGGAUGGUUUGGAUCCACGUCCUAGUGAGAUCCCGCAACGGAAAAUGGGAAGGGGGCGGAGAAAAGUGGGGAGGAGAAGCAUUGUAAAACCCUAGGAGGAGAGUUCUUGAGAAUGGAGAUUAAGAUUUUGGUUUCUGCUCCGACGAAUCAGAUCACUCCCAUUUGGUUUCUGCUCCGCCGAAUCAGAUCACUCCCGCCGGUCCUCCCUCUUCGAGUCCUCNNNN